AAUUAGCCCAGAUAGAAGUGGAAAUCCUUUUGUGUUAGUUGCGACGGACACAAAAGAUUGGAACGAAUAGCUAGAUUAGCU
rnacentral:sRNA from 1 species